rnacentral:lncRNA from 10 species
CUUCUGCCAAGCAGAGCAGCACAGCUGCAAGACACCCUGCUUCUGGCUCUGAGCUUUGCUUGUCUUCAGGGAUGGAGCCCCUCCCAAGGCAAGUUCAACUGGGUUCUUUGGCAGCCGAAGUCUACACGGACCCUGCAGGGAGCGGUGGAGAAAAGUUAGAUGUCUGAAGUGUUUUUCAUUGGACCAAAAUCAAGGUGUUGGCUGGGCUACCUUCCCUUCUGGAGACUCUAAGGAAGAAUCCAUUUCCUUGUCUUUUCCAGAUCCUAGAGGCUACCUGCAUUCCUUGGCUUUUAUCCCCAAUCUUCCAUCUUCGGAGCCAGCAACAAUAUAUUGAUCAUGAGGAGAGGGCUCACCCCUCACCCGGAGAAGUAGUUGGGGAAGCAAUAUGCGGAAACAAAGCCAUGAAUCUGACAAGAAAUGUACUUAAGAUUGUAUAUAUGGAGAUGAAUACCCAUUGUCCUUUGCACUUUCUGGAUGAUAAAUUAGAAAAGAAAAAUCCAAAGAAUGAAGUUGUGCUAUUUGUCCUCACUUCUGAUUUGGGAAACUAGAGGAAAUUAAGAUGGGAAAAGACCAUGUGAGGACACAGUGAGAAGGAGACCAUAUGCAAAGCAGGAAGGAAGAUCUCACUGGAACCAAAAACCAGCCCUGCUG